rnacentral:lncRNA from 1 species
UUAAUCCCGGCGGUUUGGCUGUCAAAAGACUUUCCCGGCAGUUAGUUAUUUGGCGGCAGAUAAUCUGCUGGCUCUUCCUGCCUUCCCCGGCAGAUAAACUGCCCUUGAUUUUCAUCCCACAAUUAAAAAAAAAAUAAGCUGCAUAAUCCCAUAGUUACACUUCAUUUUCAGCCGUAAGUUCCAAAUUUUCCAUUUAAAAGUAAGCCAUGAUAUGUCAGGUACAACACAUAGUUCACAACAGUUCAUGAAC